UGAAAGAUCAUAGAAGAACUCGGGUAGCAAAUGCAUACUUUUCGUUAUUUAUGGCCAUUGGUAACAUCCUUGGCUUUGCAACUGGAUCUUACAGUAGCUGGUACAAGAUCUUCCCUUUCACCCUCAACUCUGCGUGCACCAUCAACUGUGCCAAUCUAAAGGCCGCUUUUAUUCUUGACAUUAUUUUUAUUGCAACAACUACAUAUAUCAGUAUAUCGGCAGCGAAUGAGCAGCCUCUAGAUCCCAAUCAUUGCUCCUCUCAUACUGGAGAAGAGAUUUCCGAAACAAGCCAUGGCCAAGAAGAAGCUUUUCUCUGGGAAUUGUUUGGAACUUUCAAGUAUUUCCCAGGUAUUGUUUGGGUGAUCCUGCUUGUCACUGCCCUGACUUGGAUUGGCUGGUUUCCAUUUCUGUUGUUCGAUACUGACUGGUUUGGUCGAGAAAUUUAUGGUGGUGAACCAAAUGAUGGAAAGAAUUACAGUGCCGGAGUCCGAAUGGGUUCAUUGGGUCUAAUGUUGAAUUCCGUGCUUCUUGGAGUAACUUCAUUGCUCAUGGAGAAGCUCUGUCGAAAAUGGGGGGCUGGAUUCACAUGGGGAGUUUCAAAUGUUGUCAUGUCUCUCUGCUUUAUAGCAAUGCUUAUAAUUACUGCAGUUAGGAGUAACAUAGACAUUGGCCAGGGUCUUCCUCCGGAUGGCAUAGUUAUUGCUGCGCUAAUAGUGUUUGCUCUUCUUGGGAUCCCACUGGCUAUAACAUACAGUGUUCCAUAUGCUCUGGUAUCCUCAAGGAUUGAAGCUCUUGGGCUAGGACAAGGUUUGUCAAUGGGCGUUCUGAACCUGGCUAUUGUGUUCCCACAGAUCGUGGUUUCACUUGGAAGUGGACCAUGGGAUGAGCUAUUUGGUGGUGGCAACUCACCAGCCUUUGUUGUAGCUGCACUUUCAGCAUUUGCUGGUGGACUUGUAGCCAUCUUGGCAAUUCCUCGAACACGGGUUGAGAGGCCCAAGAUCCUUCCAUGAGGUCAUUGCUGAUGCAUGAUCCAUAACUCGGCGGAUAAAGGACCUCUCCUGCCUCUACCUUUCUCCACUUAAGUAUCAGGCUUUUCUCUGCGGCAGGGUACAUCACAAGUUGCUCUUACCAGUAGACCAAUGCUUUGCAGGUUAUUGAUGUCAUGUUGAGAGAUGAGAUUGAUGGUGCUGGUAAUUCUCCAACAUUGGCCUAGGCAGGUACUUAAUUUUUCUGUUGUGGCCAUUUUGACUAUUCGUCAAUCCGAAGGUUGAAGAGUUCCUGGAGGUAUAUCCUUGUAUCCUAUUUUUUGCAUUUUUCUGAUCAACCCACAAUUUGUAUUACCAUUUUGUAAAUAUAGAUCUUUCGCUCACGUGGUAUUGAUUCUAGCAUUCAAGAUGCUGUAUUCAAGAUUGUUGUUCUUGUUCCAUCAUUUACUUAGUUGCUCAAAUUGCUGCUGUGCAAUUCCUUUUGGUGGUUCACUACUUUCUAGAUAAAGCAAAUUUCAAAUAUCAGUACAACUGUUCAAUAAAUGUUCAGUCUAUAAAGUGCGUAUUCUUUGUGCAUUUCCAUACAUCUCCAAGUAUAAUUGUACUCUGCAAAUAGGACAAUCUUUUUUCAGCUGCAAAUUUCCUCAAGGCUAUAACAAAACUUGUCUCAUCCAUAUUGCUGCCAGCCAUUUAUAAAUUUUUAGCUUUGACAUGCAACAAAAACCUAUAAUCAGCCAAGUGAAGAGGAUGGCAGGUGCGCCAAUAGUAAUAAAUGUAUUCUGGAGUUACAAUCUCGUGUACACAUAAUGGCACCAAACUUUUGAUUCCACGGACUGAUGUUUCUGCCCAAGCAACCUCUGGAAGGAAGAACCUAUCCAUGAUGUCAUAGUAAAAUAACCUGGUUUUAGAUGCAUGAUGUCUAAGAAGAUGGAAGAUAAAUACAUGGAAAACUGCUGUGGAACAUUAUCAGGACCAUCUUUUUCGGUACCUCAAAACUACAAAUGUAUCCUCAUGUCUCAUUAAAUAAACCAUCUCUUGCACCAA